GAUGAUUGACUUGGUCUGUUUGAGAACUUGAAGUUCUCGGAAAACAAUAACUAUAUUUCAUCAUAAUAGGGCUAUAAAAGGCAAUAUUUCGUCCCUAAGGAAGCUCAUACUGGAAGCUGAACGGCAAAGGAAAAUCUGCUGAGAGGAGUAAUGAGGACAUCCUACAACUGGAAGCAGAAGCAACUGAUAAGAACGAAUGGAAGCGGGAGAUUACUAAAAAACUUCACCAGAAAGUGGCAACAGGGUCAGAAAACUUGAACAUUUAUAAAGUCCCAAAAAACCUUCGAAAAGUCAAGGAUGAAGCAUACAACUCUCGUAUUGUCUCAAUUGGACCCUUCCAUCUAGGCAACCAUGCCCUUGUAGCUAUGAGACAUCAUAAAUGGCAUUACAUGCAAUAUUUUUAUGCACGAAUAGAAGAUCAUCCACAAUCCCUCCAAUGUUUAGAAGUGUGUACAAAUGCUAUUUAUGAUUUAGAUGAAAAGGUUCAUGGAUGCUAUUCCGAAAA